rnacentral:rRNA from 1 species
AACGAACGCUGGCGGCAUGCCUAACACAUGCAAGUUGAGCGAUAACCGGGGGCUUGCUCCCGGGGACAGCAGCGCACGGGUGAGUAACGCGUGGAUAACGUGCCCUAGGGUUGAGGAUAACCCACCGAAAGGUGAGCUAAUACUGAAUGUGUUUCUUUAAGGUGCGCCUUGAAGAAAGAAAGCGGGGGCAACCCGCGCCCAAGGAUCGGUCCGCGUACCAUCAGUUUGUUGGUGGGGUAAUGGCCUACCAAGACUACGACGGUUAGCUGGUCUGAGAGGAUGAUCAGCCACACUGGGACUGAGACACGGCCCAGACUCCUACGGGAGGCAGCACGUGGGGAAUAUUGGUCAAUGGCGAAAGCCUGAACCAGCAAUGCCGCGUGAGUCGAUG